rnacentral:miRNA from 1 species
GAACAUGAGAGAGAGAGAGAGAGAGAGGAGGGAGGGAGGGAGGUGUGUUUACUCACGGCUAUGUGACGCCUCCAGUGUCAGGUGACUUACAGGAAAGAAGAGGAAAGAAGUUGUUGUUCUCGCCCUCUCUCUCUCUCUCGUUCUCUCUCUCUUUCUCCUCUUUCUUUU